UCGAGGAUCUUCGGCAAUGGGCGCAAGCCUGACCGAGCGACGCCGCGUGGGCGAUGAAGGCCUUCGGGUUGUAAAGCCCUGUCGAGGGGGAGAAAGUGGAAACUUGAUCUAUCCCUGGAGGAAGCACGGGCUAAGUUCGUGCCAGCAGCCGCGGUAAGACGAACCGUGCGAACGUUGUUCGGAAUCACUGGGCUUAAAGGGCGCGUAGGCGGGCCGCCAAGUCCGCGGUGAAAUCCCCCGGCUCAACCGGGGAACUGCCGCGGAUACUGGAGGUCUCGAGGGGGGUAGGGGCAUGCGGAACUGCGGGUGGAGCGGUGAAAUGCGUUGAUAUCCGCAGGAACUCCGGUGGCGAAGGCGGCGUGCUGGACCCCUUCUGACGCUGAGGCGCGAAAGCCAGGGGAGCGAACG
rnacentral:rRNA from 1 species